UCUCCCUUCUUCCUGGGCCCCACCCUGGACCUCGAGCACAGAAAGGAGAAAGGGCGGAAGGGUCCUCAAGCCGGAGAGCAGAGCCUUUCCUAUCUCAGGGAGCCCCGGCCGUGGGGGCAAGGGCAAACUUUGAACUGAGUGAGAAUAAAGCUUUAAAAAGAAAUCAUUGGACCAGGAGGAGUCAAAUCCAGACCUGAUGGAGUGGGAAGCUGUGAGUGACUCAGAUUUGACGAUGGUGUGGCCUCUUGACCAGCUCUGAAUGGUGUAACUCUGGAAAGUGAUACUGAAUGCCUAAAUUUUCCCUCGGCUCUGGCCUUCUCUGCUGCCUCAGGAGAGAGAAUCAGCUCAGAGUCCAGUCGUGUCUGAACAGACUCCAGCGUCUUCCAGGAGUGAGCAACGUUUGACAAAUGCUAACACUCAGGGGAAUGUUCCAGAGUCAUUUGCUUUGAGAAGUAUGUAUCAUCUACUGUUCUUGACAUGAAUUCAGUCUACUCAUUUUCUACACGUACAAGCACGUACCCUGCUUUCCUGGGUACAGGAGGACAGUAAGCCAUAAAAUGAAAGGGCUUUACCAUGAAAAUCAGCACAAACUCAUUUGCUUAUUUGGCAAACAUGCUUUCAUUCUCCACGGCCAUGAGAGGUAAGAGGCUGUUUUCAUGUUAAUGAACUUCUCUGUUCUGUCCUCUGUUGUAAUGCAUAGCUCCUGUGAGACAAAGCAAUGAGUGGUCCAAUGAAGUUGUGGGUGUCAGAAGAUUAUGUCAAUCAAGUAACAAAUGCACGAUGCUGAUUAAGCAAGUAUCUCCCCAUCUUAGUAUCCAAAUAUUCAAAAUUUUGUAAAAAGCAUGCUGGGAAACAACAAACUGCUAACAUACAGUCUUUCUGAAUUUUCACUGUUCUGAGCAAUGAGAAAAGGCUUGGUGAACACUUUCAUUCACCUGUGUCUCUGCUGAACAUUUCAAAGACGAGGUGGUUAAAAUCCAUAUUUAGGGGCCAGCCUGGUGGAAUAGCAGUUAAGUUCACGUUUCCACCUGGGGGGCCCAGGGUGUGUGUGUUCAGGUCCGGGGCACAGACUACACACCACUCAUCAAGACAUGCUGUGGCAGGGUCCCACAUACAAAAUAGGGGAAGAUGGGCACAGAUGUCAGCUCAGGGUCAAUCUUCCUCAACCCCCUCCCCAAAAGAAUCCAGAUUUAAAUCCAAAAUAUUA